rnacentral:misc_RNA from 1 species
AGUAAAAAUGGCCGAGAGUUGACGUGAAUAAGCAUAACACAGUAAAGCAUUUUGGGUUAGAGUAAUGGGUCUCCAAUUUGGACUUGAGUUUAUAGUUUCAGAGAUCAAAAAAAUUGGCUCUGAAUGUUUUUGGAUCCCAAAAUCUGUACAAAUGCAAGUUUCAUCUCCAAUGAAAUUCCUUCUUUGCUAAUAAUAACAUUACUAUUAGCACAUCGGACUAAUGAUUGCGAACUUCCAUUCAAUGUCUGGGUUGGUUUGAUUAAAUUUGAAGAAUAAAAUUAAGAUGUUACUAUUACGGAUCAAUAUACAAAGCUGCUGACUGAAGCCUGAAAUUCAGCUGAUUCCCAUCUAAGCUAAGACGUGCAAAGAAUUCCGCCUAGCUCCUCCAGUUACAAAACCAUCUCCCAGAAUUUUCUUUACUCCCUCUCUUCCUCCUCUGCCUUUUCUUUUGUCGUCCAGAAAUGAAUAUUAAUUUGAUAUCUCGACAUAGAAGCCGGAUAUAACAGAUUAGAAAAUCACGCCUUGCCUCUUCGCACAAAAAUUGCUGACAGGAUUACAACUUAAACAAUGUGCUUUUCAUUCAGCAUGAUGUUAGUAUGGUUUUUUUUAUGAAGCUUUGCAGAAUCGUGAAGCAAGAUUCCUUAGCAUCUCGAUGCCAGAAAUUAAUCCUAUAGUCAACACUCUAUCCGUAAUCGUCGCAUUUCAGAUCUGAAGGUGGGGCUUGAAUUCAAAGUUCGGCGAGCAAGACUUCUU